CUCCAUUUCCUACACUGUUAUUUAUAUCCCCAUGGCUAUUCUGUAACUGCCUAUCUGUACUUCUUAUUCGCUAUAUUUUUUUACAGAACUGAUGAGUUGGAAAACUUAUUACAUUUUAUUUCUAAAAUAUUCUUCUUUACUUCUUAAAAAAUAUUUUACCUGUGUAGUACUGAAAAUUCAUUUUCACAUCUCUUCCUGUCUUUUUCUUGUACCUAUUA